AAAAACAGCAACAAAGUCAAACGCCAUAAUUUUUAAAUUUUUUUUUGAAUGAAAGCAAAAAUUUUCGGAAAUAACAUCAAAAUUUAGAAUAAGUUUUGUUCGAAUUUUUGUCACCUUUGGCACGAAUUAUGAUCUUUAAACGCUGCCCGAAUGUUGCUCUGCGGUAUUUUGGCCCAUUCCCGGCGAUGCGCUUGCUUGAGAAUAUUUUCGCGAUAAUAUUCGGCAUUCAUUCUGAUCCCACGGUCGAUUAAUACGAGCGUAGAGUGACCAUCGGCUGUUGUGGGGGCCCACACCAUCACAAUGUCCGGCGCUUGAGUUCUGGUGGCCAACCGAAGGUGCACAUUUUCAGCUGACCUCCUUGGAAAGUAAACACGAUAAUUACGUUUGUUUACAAACUCUUGGACAACGAAUGUUUUCUCAUUGGAGAAAACCAAAUUCGGCAGUUCACCACUUUCGGCCAAGCGAAGCAACUCUUUAGAUUUUUUGUGUCUAUUUUUUUUCUGUUGCGGUGUAAGUUCUUGCACUUUUUGGAAUUUCAAUGGCUUUACCCCAAGCUCAUUUUUCAACAUUUGCCGAAUGG